CUGGAUUUAUGAGCUGUUGCACAACAAAAUGGAACCACCCCUUGUCCCCAAUUGGGGGCACUGGCUGAGAGACCUCACGUAUGCUGUGGAGACAGAAACCUACUCAGACUCAGACUGAGACACCACAGUCGCAGACCCGCCUCCAGUCCAUGGUGUGUCUCAGUUUUGCAGCCUGUGAACUUGGGGAGUGGAGGUUGGACCAGGGCAGGGAGUUGGGACAGUGCGAGGACCCUGAGCACAUAUUCAGGUCAGUAUUUUGUAGAAUCUCUCAAGGAUUUCCCCUCAAAUCCUGGCAAUUAAAGUGCCUCUCCCAUCUUCUUAUCUUCCUGAGCCCCCCCUUAUUCCCUUCUUUAUUCAUAUUGGCAUGUCAGCUUGUUCCCACCAAAGAAGUUUUACAAAAGGAGGAACAAUAAUUUGAAUUUGUCGCUGUCAUUGUGCUUUUGCUUUCCUGUAGGUUGGAUACCCUUUCUGGCAUUGACAAUCAUCUGUCGUAAGUCUAGCGUCAGCAGUCGAGGACUAGCUCUGGCAGCAAGUCCCUCAAACAAACAGAAAUGGACAGGUAGGCACAGGCACAGCGGGAGGACGUUUCUCUGGGGGAGCAGGUUGGGACGUGUAACAGCUGUUUGUGGUAGUCGUGGUCUCAUCAUCAGAGGGUACCUUUGAAAUGCCUUUGUUGUUGACGUUUCUUUUUUGACGACUGGCAAUGUUUUGAACCAAGAGGUAUAAAUGGCAGGUACUGUGUGCCAAGCUCUGUGCAGGGCGUUUUCUAUAGGUUCACUUGUUCACUCCUUGCCACACCUCUGUGUUGUUAUCCUCAUUUUACAAAUGGGCACUUGGGGCUCAGAGAGAAGAGGGGGUUCGAUGGCAGGAUUGGGAUGUGAAUAUGGUCUGCAUGAUUCCAGAGUCCAUAUGCAUGCUCUGUGCCUCUAAUCUACACCGUGUUCAACUUGGAGUUGACCUUUGAAAGGUGAGCCAACAUUUCAAUAGCAAAGAAGGAAAGGGAAGGUAGUCAGUUUGGGACAUCAGCACCUGAGCAGGUAGGGAGUCAGGUGUAAAUGGAAACAGGAAGUGGUCUCACGUGAUUGAAUCAGAAACUACACAGGAGGUUGUUAUAGGGAGAGAUGAGAUUUGAAAGACAGGUCAAUGCCAGAUGCUAGAAGAUCCACGACUUCUAAGCUGUGAGAUCCUAGGCAAGUUACUCCACCUCUCUGAACCUUCGUCUUUUGAUCCGGAAAACGGAGCUGAAAGGCCCUUCCUGAUUGCCUGUGUAUGUGUUCAUGCACUCGUAUGCCUGUGUAUGUGCAUAAAGCACCUAGUAAGCACGUAAGGAAAGUUCAUCCUCCUCCCUGUUUUUCAGGAGCUGGCGGCUGGCUGGACGGAGUGGUGAGGAGGAGUUGGGGAGGAGUAAUGGAGGGCUGGCAAGGUUUUAGCAGCUCCUGAGGCCCCAGGUUUCUUCCAAUCCCAACAACCUCUUCAUCAUUCCAGCGAUCAGCCUCAGGCCCAUUUGGUGUUAAUUACAGCAACCCAGGCUUCUCUGUGUGAAGGAAACAGGCCCUCAUUUCUCUCAUUAAAGUAAAAUAUGACCCAUUUUUAUGCCUGCGUAUUUUGUUGCCGAGAUUACGAGAAUCAUCUUUUCUGUUUAUACGGAACGAAGAAACGUUACACCAGGAAGGCGGCCUGGGCCCCUGAGUCUGGGGAAUAGGAAGCAGAUGUCGUCCCGCCCUUAUUUUCCCUUCUACCCCAGCUCCCCUCUCCUCCUCUCCACCUCUUCUCCCUCCAGAAGCAUAAUCCUCAUUUCAGAUCAACACGAGGGAAGUGGAUGGUAAGAAAAUAAGCUCACAUUUAUUGAGCUCUUUACCAGGUGCCAAGCCCUAUAAACAAGUUUCUCCUUUAAUUCUCCCCAGAAGCUUCAGGGGCAGUUGGUAUUAAUCCUUUUUCAGCGCCAGUUCCCUCCAACCAAGAAUGCUCCAAGUCGGCCUGGUGCCCCAAGAUGUGGGGCAAACUACUCCUGCUGAUCACAGAUGCAGUUACAGACCUUUGUGACCGCCUUGCUGGCCACAGGACUUCCACAUGACCGUCCUAGUGGCCUCACACAGAAUGGCCUCACGUGGCCUGUCCGGCAUGCAUUGUGCAUCUGCUUUAAACAUUUACAGGAUCCCAAAGCAAGGCGUGCUGCCUUUAAAGAUAGGGAUCGAUGACCCCUUCCCACAUCAGCAUUUCUUCAAAGAUAAGCAUUCCUUCCCAGAAACUAAGGGUCAAACUGACCUGCCGUGUACAUCUGGCGACCGCUGACCUGCUAUGCUAGCAAAACAGCUUGUGACUGCAGUAAAAAGAGAG
rnacentral:lncRNA from 1 species